UGUAUCGUGUUGAUUGCUUUCAUAUUAAUCGUGAUAAAUUUAAUAUAACAUAUAGAAAAGUGAUCCUUUUGUACAGGUCAAUCUUUGGGUUUUGGAUUGGGCAUACGAGGAGGAGGCUCACCUGUUAAGUCACACCGACACCCUUGGCUCUCUCAAUGCCAGAGGCCUUACAAGUGCGUUGCCAGCCCUUUAAGAAUUGUUACGCUCUUUUUUGAAGGACCCUAAAUCGAAAUGGUUCGGAAAUACUUAGUAAAAAACGCUCCGUUUCGAACGAUGGACGUCGUGAUACAGGUGGACUGGAUUUUUUGUUGUAUCAUGAUCAGCGCACGCGAUUACAGAUUUUUGAUGGAUAAUUUUUUCACACCUUGGUUUAAAAUCAAGGUUAUUGCCUUUAUUAAGGAAGGAAAGGAAAUUUUGGAAGGUAUAUAUUGCGUAUGUCAGUCAGUGAAGAUGCAGCUUUCUAAUGAAAUUAUUUAAACAACUGUUAAAAAACUGUCUAAUAAAUCGUUUGCUUUGCAAUGA